rnacentral:lncRNA from 1 species
GCACCACUGCACUGCAGCCUGGGUGACAGUGUGAGACCUUGUCUGAAAAAAAAAAAGGAAAGAAAUGACCAUUUCACUUCCUGGAGAGAGCUGCUAUGGCUUGAAUAAAAUCUAGUAGGGGCCUAAGACAGCUCCCGGGUGGGCCCAAGUCCCUGAAGUCUGGAAGUCUGGGUUUGGAGAAGCGAUGAGGGAUGGGCUGGGGAAAGCGUAAUAAUCCACCCCCACGGUUGCCCCUGACAACAGCAAACUCUAGACCGGGGUGGGAGACUGUCUCUGCUCUCAUCAGCUGUGGGCCUUGAGCCAGGGGUCCCUCUCACUCCUACAUAUACUUCCGUGCCUACAAAAUGAAGGGAUUGAACCAGAUGACCUGACACUCUUUGUUUCCUAAAACAGUGUGAGUCUGUCCAGUGGGACUUUAUCCAGUGUGUUUAGAACUUACAGUGAUGUUUUAUUUAUCAGCAUUGUUGGGAAAGAUGCACAUAAGUAAAUUUUCUCUAUAACAGAAAUUUACCCAUUGAAUCUCUAUCUUUCAGUUUGGAAACCUUUCCUAAAUGCUCGUGCACUUAACUUUCUUGGUUCCUUCAGAGGUGAAUAAAUACAGUGGAUGUUUCCCUGUUUCCUUGUGGUCCUCACUACCUGAUGGUGACUUAUGAGACAAGAUGGGUCUGUUUUUAACUGCCCCUAAGUGGGGUGUGAAAUUUUCACCCACACCCACCUCUCCACAAAAACACACCUCUGAGUUCUCUACGUUUACCCCUCACUCGGGAAAUGGAAAUUGCUUUGAUUUAUCCUGAGCCCACCUUCUGAAAAAGCUGCUUUUUCCUGUUGUCUAGGAUUGGUUUGCAACCUUUCCAAGUCUUUUGCAUACUGUAUGAGUGGUGAAUCUUCGAGUUAGAGGUGGUAUUACAUACAGGAUUUCUCCAACUUACUUAGCCAGGGAACCCAAACACCCCUUGAAAAUGCCAUCUUACUAUGUAGCUAUCUCCCUUCACCUCCCAGCUGUAAUCCCAAAUAAACAUGUAACCUUCAGUAA